CCUACGGGUGGCAGCAGUGAGGAAUAUUGGUCAAUGGACGAGAGUCUGAACCAGCCAAGUAGCGUGAAGGAUGAAUGUGCCAAGGGUUGUAAACUUCUUUUAUAUGGGAAUAAAAUGAUCCACGUGAGGGUUUUCGUAUGUACCAUAAGAAUAAGGAUCGGCUAACUCCGUGCCAGCAGCCGCGGUAAUACGGAGGAUCCGAGCGUUAUCCGGAUUUAUUGGGUUUAAAGGGGGCGUAGGUGGAUUGUUAAGUCAGUUGUUAAAGGUUGCGGCUCAACCGUAAGAUUGCAGUUGAAACUGGCAGUCUUGAGUACAGUAGAGGUGGGCGGAAUGCGUGGUGUAGCGGUGAAAUGCUUAGAUAUCACGAAGAACUCCGAUUGCGAAGGCAGCUCACUGGACUGCAACUGACACUGAGGCUCGAAAGUGUGGGUAUCAAACAGGAUUAGAUACCCGUGUAGUC
rnacentral:rRNA from 1 species